GAGGGUAUAGCUCUCGUGUAGAGUGCAUGCUUAGCAUGCAGGAGGUCCUGGGUUCAAUCCCCAGUACCUCUG
rnacentral:tRNA from 1 species